AAAGUCGUAACAAGGUAACCGUAGGUGAACCUGCGGUUGGAUCAUUAUAAAUUUAAUAGCCUCUCAUUGCUUGAAUUGGGAUAUCCAAUCCAAACCAAUGAUACUUGGCGACACAUCUUGUGAACUGUAACGUCUUUGGUGGUUGGGCGUGAUGUUUCUCUGUAACUCAUGCUUGUCAGCUUGAAUCGUUAAUGAUUCAGGCCGUGGACAAUCCACCGUUUGUUUUUUAAACCUGUUUGUCUUUUUUAUUUUCGUCUAACGUAAAUUUGUAUGAAUGUACAAACAACUUUUGGCAACGGAUCUCUUGGUUCUC
rnacentral:misc_RNA from 1 species